CGUCGACCACAGAGUUUGAUCCUGGCUCAGAACGAACGCUGGCGGCAGGCUUAACACAUGCAAGUCGAGCGCCCCGCAAGGGGAGCGGCAGACGGGUGAGUAACGCGUGGGAAUCUACCUUUUGCUACGGAAUAACGCAGGGAAACUUGUGCUAAUACCGUAUGUGUCCUUCGGGAGAAAGAUUUAUCGGCAAGAGAUGAGCCCGCGUUGGAUUAGCUAGUUGGUGGGGUAAAGGCCUACCAAGGCGACGAUCCAUAGCUGGUCUGAGAGGAUGAUCAGCCACAUUGGGACUGAGACACGGCCCAAACUCCUACGGGAGGCAGCAGUGGGGAAUAUUGGACAAUGGGCGCAAGCCUGAUCCAGCCAUGCCGCGUGAGUGAUGAAGGCCCUAGGGUUGUAAAGCUCUUUCACCGGAGAAGAUAAUGACGGUAUCCGGAGAAGAAGCCCCGGCUAACUUCGUGCCAGCAGCCGCGGUAAUACGAAGGGGGCUAGCGUUGUUCGGAAUUACUGGGCGUAAAGCGCACGUAGGCGGAUCGAUCAGUCAGGGGUGAAAUCCCAGGGCUCAACCCUGGAACUGCCUUUGAUACUGUCGAUCUGGAGUAUGGAAGAGGUGAGUGGAAUCCGAGUGUAGAGGUGAAAUUCGUAGAUAUUCGGAGGAACACCAGUGGCGAAGGCGGCUCACUGGUCCUUACUGACGCAACGCGCAGAACCUUACCAGCCCUUGACAUCCUGUGUUACCCGUAGAGAUAUGGGGUCCACUUCGGUGGCGCAGAGACAGGUGCUGCAUGGCUGUCGUCAGCUCGUGUCGUGAGAUGUUGGGUUAAGUCCCGCAACGAGCGCAACCCUCGCCCUUAGUUGCCAGCAUUUAGUUGGGCACUCUAAGGGGACUGCCGGUGAUAAGCCGAGAGGAAGGUGGGGAUGACGUCAAGUCCUCAUGGCCCUUACGGGCUGGGCUACACACGUGCUACAAUGGUGGUGACAGUGGGCAGCGAGCACGCGAGUGUGAGCUAAUCUCCAAAAGCCAUCUCAGUUCGGAUUGCACUCUGCAACUCGAGUGCAUGAAGUUGGAAUCGCUAGUAAUCGCGGAUCAGCAUGCCGCGGUGAAUACGUUCCCGGGCCUUGUACACACCGCCCGUCACACCAUGGGAGUUGGUUUUACCCGAAGGUAGUGCGCUAACCGCAAGGAGGCAGCUAACCACGGUAGGGUCAGCGACUGGGGUGAAGUCGUAACAAGGUAGCCGUAGGGGAACCUGCGGCUGGAUCACCUCCUU
rnacentral:rRNA from 1 species